rnacentral:rRNA from 1 species
CGCUGGCGGCGUGCCUAAUACAUGCAAGUCGAACGGUCUUUUCUAUGGAAGCUUGCUUCCACUGAGAAGAUAGUGGCGAACGGGUGAGUAACACGUGGGUAACCUGCCCAUAAGAGGGGGGAUAACAUCCGGAAACGGGUGCUAAUACCGCAUAGUUUUCUUGAUCGCAUGAUCGGGAAAGGAAAGACGGCCUUUGUGCUGUCGCUUAUGGAUGGACCCGCGGCGUAUUAGUUAGUUGGUGAGGUAACGGCUCACCAAGACGAUGAUACGUAGCCGACCUGAGAGGGUGAUCGGCCACAUUGGGACUGAGACACGGCCCAAACUCCUACGGGAGGCAGCAGUAGGGAGUCUUCCGCAAUGGACGAAAGUCUGACGGAGCAACGCCGCGUGAGUGAAAGAAGGUUUUCGGAUCGUAAAACUCUGUUGUCAGAGAAGAACAAGUUGGAGAGUAACUGCUCCAGCCUUGACGGUAUCUGACCAGAAAGCCACGGCUAACUACGUGCCAGCCGCCGC